CUGUGCUGCAGUUAGUUUCCUGCUGUUGGAGCGCUCUCCGAUCCACUUGCAGCUGAAGCCAAAUCUUCUUCAACUGAAAAAGUUCAGUUGAAGACCAGUUUUCGCUUUUUUAGUCCGCAUUAGAGUUUGAUUGCGCGUUCACACCUCCCCAAAUGAAUCAGACUUUCUAGAUAAAAGAAGUAGAGUUUGAUUAAAGCGGACUCAAACAGUCCGCUUGAUGAAAGUCUAGUGUAUGAAUGCUCACACUAGAGAAGGAAGAACAAAC